rnacentral:lncRNA from 1 species
ACUACUUUUUGUCAUCAGAUCCGUGUCUUCAAUGCCCUUUUUAUCCGUUGAUAUUGAAUGCCUUGGAUAGACACGAGAAUCGUAUCUAAGUUCCUUCUCGUGCCUAUUUCCUUUUCUUCUACCGUGCAUGUUGUCCUCCGUAUCUUUUAAUCAUUUAUUGUUCUUUGACUGUUUGACUAAUCCACGUAUCAUGCCACGUCACAUUUAAUAAAAACUCAAUUUUUUUCCAAUACAUGACUAGAAGAUGUUACUACAUUAGCCCUACAAAGAGGGCAGUUAGAAUGAGAUUUC